rnacentral:rRNA from 1 species
GACAGAGGGUGCAAACGUUGUUCGGAUUUACUGGGCGUAAAGCGCGUGUAGGCGGCUUCGCAAGUUGGAUGUGAAAUCCCGAGGCUCAACCUCGGGCCUGCAGUGGGUACGGGCAGACUGGAGUGCGGUAGGGGAGAAUGGAAUUCCUGGUGUAGCGGUGGAAUGCGCAGAUAUCAGGAGGAACACCGGUGGCGAAGGCGGGUCUCUGGGCCGAUACUGACGCUGAGGAGCGAAAGCGUGGGGAGCAAACAGG